rnacentral:rRNA from 1 species
GAUGAACGCUAGCGGCAGGCUUAACACAUGCAAGUCGAGGGGUAUUGGUUUUCGGACCAAGAGACCGGCGCACGGGUGCGUAACGCGUAUGCAAUCUACCUUUUGCAGAGGGAUAGCCCCAGAGAAAUUUGGAUUAAUACCUCAUAGUAUAGUACUUUGGCAUCAAGGAACUAUUAAAGUCACAACGGCAAAGAUGAGCAUGCGUCCCAUUAGCUUGUUGGUAAGGUAACGGCUUACCAAGGCAACGAUGGGUAGGGGUCCUGAGAGGGAGAUCCCCCACACUGGUACUGAGACACGGACCAGACUCCUACGGGAGGCAGCAGUGAGGAAUAUUGGACAAUGGGCGCAAGCCUGAUCCAGCCAUGCCGCGUGCAGGAUGACGGUCCUAUGGAUUGUAAACUGCUUUGUACAGGAAGAAACACUACUUCGUGAAGUAGCUUGACGGUACUGUAAGAAUAAGGAUCGGCUAACUCCGUGCCAG